rnacentral:rRNA from 1 species
GAAGGGAGUAAAGUUAAUACCUUUGCUCAUUGACGUUACCCGCAGAAGAAGCACCGGCUAACUCCGUGCCAGCAGCCGCGGUAAUACGGAGGGUGCAAGCGUUAAUCGGAAUUACUGGGCGUAAAGCGCACGCAGGCGGUUUGUUAAGUCAGAUGUGAAAUCCCCGGGCUCAACCUGGGAACUGCAUCUGAUACUGGCAAGCUUGAGUCUCGUAGAGGGGGGUAGAAUUCCAGGUGUAGCGGUGAAAUGCGUAGAGAUCUGGAGGAAUACCGGUGGCGAAGGCGGCCCCCUGGACGAAGACUGACGCUCAGGUGCGAAAGCGUGGGGAGCAAACAGGAUU